GCCGGGGUGGUGAAAUGGUAGACACAAGGGACUUAAAAUCCCUCGAUCGUGAGAUCAUACGGGUUCGAGUCCCGUCCUCGGCA
rnacentral:tRNA from 1 species